AACUCCAUAUCAGUGUAAGAAAAAUUUUAAAAUAAUAUAUUUUAUUCUUUGAUUUUUUAAUGAAUGAAUGCGAUCCUUAGUGAAAGAAUGCAACCCUUAGUGAGUGGAUGCAAUUCUAAUCAAAGGGUGUGACUGUUAAAGUGAGUGUGAAAGGAUGUGACUUUUAGUGAAAGGAUAUAACAUGAAAAGACACAUCUUUUUAGUAUGUCUCUUCUAGCAUAUGUCUGUUGGAAUUAAUUCUUACAUUCAUUAAACUUGAUUCAUAUAACUAAUUGGUAGUUAUGAUCAAAUGAAAAGUCACAAUUAAAAGGUCACUUUACGAAACACCCGUUCAUGAAUAGUCACUUCAUGAAGCACCCAUUCGUGAUCUAUAUAAGUUCAUAGCGUUGGUUGCAUAAGUAUGAAACAGUUGAAGAGUUUAAGUUUCCAUUCAUAAUAAUUUCAUUCUUGUUUUCUUAUUCUAUUUCUUUUGACAACUAAAUCGAGUGAGUGCUCAAAGACUCGACUUCGUGUGUGCAAACGUAGUUGAGGUUUGUGCUUCAUUGUAUCCUGGGAGGCUGUUCGUUGACUCUGUGCACACCAAGUUGAUUGAACGGUAGAGAUAGAUUAAGCCUUAAGAAGAGUAGCAUUGCUACACGUCUUGAAGUCUUUUUCAUCUUUCUACUUCAUACUUUUUUUACUAUCUGUUCGAACAAUCAGUCUCUACUAACAACAUUGCUAUGGCAAAUUUUAAGCCAUUUAUAGAAUUAAAUCAAACCAUUGUGGUAAUGCUUGCUUGAACUGGCUUCUGUCAUACGGUUCUGCUAGAGAAGCAUCCGCCAAGCAUUUGGCAAUUGAAAUUUUUUUCUUCUCGUAAUUUUAGGGAAAAGUUGACAUAAGCUUUUAGAUUUCGAAAGCAGAAGCUCAAAUUUUAACCAUUUAAUCAAGCUUU
rnacentral:lncRNA from 1 species